CCUACGGGCCGCAGCAGUAGGGAAUCUUCGGCAAUGGACGAAAGUCUGACCGAGCAACGCCGCGUGAGUGAAGAAGGUUUUCGGAUCGUAAAACUCUGUUGUUAGAGAAGAACAAGGAUGAGAAGAGAAUGUUCAUCCCUUGACGGCAUCUAACCAGAAAGUCACGGCUAACUACGUGCCAGCAGCCGCGGUAAUACGUAGGUGGCAAGCGUUGUCCGGAUUUAUUGGGCGUAAAGCGAGCGCAGGCGGUUCUUUAAGUCUGAUGUGAAAGCCCCCGGCUUAACCGGGGAGGGUCAUUGGAAACUGGGGAACUUGAGUGCAGAAGAGGAGAGUGGAAUUCCAUGUGAAGCGGUGAAAUGCGUAGAUAUAUGGAGGAACACCAGUGGCGAAGGCGGCUCUCUGGUCUGUAACUGACGCUGAGGCUCGAAAGCGUGGGGAGCAAACAGGAUUAGAUACCCUCGUAGUC
rnacentral:rRNA from 1 species